rnacentral:rRNA from 1 species
CUGAAGUGGAGAAGGGUUUCGUGUGAACAGUGUUUGAUCACGAGUUAGUCGGUCCUAAGGUCUAGGCGAAAGCCGUCAUAAACAUGAGUAUUAUUAUUUAUGAAAUAUUAUAACUCUAUAUAUGAGACCGAAAGGGAAUACGGUUCCAAUUCCGUAACCUGUUGAGUAUACGCUUAAAAGAUUGGUUAUUAACAUGUUAUGAUGAAUAAUCAUCCUGGUAACAGGAACAACCAUAGAGACGCUGUCGGGAUAUAUCGAAAGAGUUUUCUUUUCUGUUUUAUAGAAGCAUAACCAUGGAAGUUUUUCGCAGAGAGAUAUGGUUAAUAGUCUAGAAGAGCAUGACAUUUACUGUUGUGUCGAUAUUCUCCCCUCAGACCUUGAAAAUCUAUGUAAGGCUACGCAAAUUCUCACCAGACCGUACCGA